rnacentral:rRNA from 1 species
AUUGAACGCUGGCGGCAGGCCUAACACAUGCAAGUCGAACGAGUGGCGGACGGGUGAGUAACGUCUGGGAAACUUCCUGAUGGAGGGGGAUAACUACUGGACACGGUAGAUAAUACCGCAUACCAUCGGAUGUGCCCAUAUCGGAUUAGCGAGUAGGGGGGGUAAAAGCUCACCUAGGCGACGAUCCCUAGCUGGUCUGAGAGGAGGACCAGCCACAGUGGACCUGAGACACGGUCCAGACUCCUACGGGGGGCAGAAUUGGGGAAUAGUGCACAAUGGGCGCAAGCCUGCUGCCGACAUGCCGCGUGUAUGAAGAAGGCCUUCGGGUUGUAAAGUACUUUAAGCGGGGAGGCGUUACCCGCAGAAGAAGCACCGGCUAACUCCGUGCCAGCAGCCGCGGUAAUUC